ACCCGCUGAAUUUAAGCAUAUAAGUAAGUGGUGGAAAUUAAACCAAAUGGGAUAUCUUUAGUAAUUGCGAAUGAACAAGGAUGUGCUUAGCUUGACAAAUGGAGCUAUUGGCUUUGAAUUGUAUUGUGGAAAUGUAUUACCAACAGAGGUGCAGGUGCCAGCCUAUUGAAAUAAAGCGUCAAUGAGGGUGAGAAUCCUGUUUGUCAUGUGCAGCCCUUUGUGCACGGUGUAUAUUCGCUGAGUCACACUCCUUGGCAUUGGAAUGCAAAGUGGGUGGUAAGUUUCAUGUAAAGGUAAACAUGCAAUUGAGACUGAUAGCACACAAGUACCAUGAGGGAAAUAUGAAAAGGACUUUGAAAAGAGAAUUAAAUGAGUUUGUAUUUGCUGAACACAAAGUAAACAGACUUGAUUUGCUUGGUGGGAGUGUUGCACUUGCUUGACAAGAGCUUUGGGCUGUGGGUGUAAUGAUUCUUUCUUUGCAUGCCAGUUUCUAUUUGUACAUCUGAUUACCUUUGCACAUGAAUGAUAAGUCUCCUGUGGGGGGUGGAUUGCGUGUGCAUGUAAUGAUUUGUGUUUUGAUAAAUGUGUCUGGUGUAUGUGUGUGUUCCUGUGCUUGGGGAUGCUUCCUUCCUUGGACUUACAAGCCCUGACACACACAUGCUGGCAAAAUGCUUCUGCUUGACCCGUCUUGAAACACGGACCAAGG
rnacentral:rRNA from 1 species